UACAGAGACUGCAAGCGUUAUUCGGAUUCACUGGGCGUAAAGGGCGCGUAGGCGGCUUUGCAAGUGACGGGUGAAAUCCCUCGGCUUAACCGAGGAACUGCCUGUCAAACUGCAUGGCUUGAGACCGGGAGAGGUGAGUGGAAUUCCCAGUGUAGCGGUGAAAUUCGUAGAUAUCGGGAGGAACACCAGUGGCGAAGGCGGCGAUCUGGGAAGAUACUGACGCUGAGGUGCGAAAGCGUGGGGAGCAAACAGG
rnacentral:rRNA from 1 species